UAUAUUUUAUAAUAUCGAUAAAUUAUGCAUGUAUGCAUGUAUGUAUGUAUGUAUGUAUGUAUGCAUGCAUGAUAGUGUGUAAAUAUUUGAUGUAACUUUUGUUCAAUAUAUAGAUAUUAAACGGAUUAUUGGGUAACCCGAUUAUUUUUCCGUGUCGGGUUUGGGUCUCAAUAUUUUGACACGAUUAUUAAAUAGGUCGGGUUUGGGUUGACCUAAAUUUGACACGACACGAAACUGACACGAUACGAACACGACCCGAUAAUCCGUUUUGCCAGCUCUAGUUGGCAGUUGGUUUUCUGAUUUUUGGCAUCCGUUUUGACGGAAAUGGGUUUUGAUUUUCGGUUAUAUUACGGGAAUGCCCUCACAUAUUCCACCGGUUCGGUUACUGUACUGGUAUUAGUAUUGACUUCCACAAAACGGCUGCGUCUAAGUUGCUGCCGUAGUAACGUAUUCCAAUUUUUUUUUCAAUUUUGCCCUGUCACCAUUUGUUUGAAAUGGACAAAAUCCAAAUGACUAUAAAUAUUGCACAAUAAGAUGCAAAAAUGCAGCAUCUUUAGCUGAUUUUGAGCACCACCAAAAAAGACUUUUCUAAUUUAAUUUUUUAAAUAUUUGGAGUGAAAA
rnacentral:lncRNA from 1 species